GGGUCAGUAGGUUGGUCGUGCCACCGGUACGUACUGGUCUCACUGAUUCCUCCCUCCUGAAGAACCGUAAUGCCAUUAAUUUGGUGUUGCGGGGAAACAGGACUGUUACUUUGAAAAAAUUAGAGUGUUUAAAGCAAGCUAACGCUUGAAUACAUUAGCAUGGAAUAAUGAAAUAGGACGAUCGAUCCUAUUUUGCUGAUUUCUAGGAUUGACGUA
rnacentral:rRNA from 1 species